rnacentral:sRNA from 1 species
GCACCAGCCAGGAGCCACCCAUCCUCCAAGCACACUGAGCAGCAAGCUGGACACACCGCACACUGAUCCAAAUGGGUAAGGGGAUGGUGGCAAUGCUCAUUCUGGGUCUUCUACUUCUGGCGCUGCUCCUACCCGUGCAGGUUUCUUCAUUUGUUCCUUUAACCAGCACGCCGGAAGCUACUGCAGCCGAGACCACAAAGCCCUCCAACAGUGCCCUACAGCCUACAGCCAGUCUCCUUGUGGUCUUGCUUGCCCUUCUACAUCUCUACCAUUAAGAGGCAGGUCAAGAAACAGCUACAGUUCUCCAACUCAUACUCUAAAACCGAAUCCAAAUGGUGCCUAGAAGUUCAGUGUGGCAAGGAAAAACAGGUCUUCAUCAAAUCUACUAAUUUCACUCCUUAUUAACAGAGAAAUGCUUGAGAGUCUCAAACUGGACUGCUUUAAAGAGCAUCUGAAGGAUUUGACUAGAUGAUAAAUGCCAAUAUUAAAUCUGUUGGAGUUUCAUGUAUAAGACGGAGGAGAAAGACAACAUCAAAAAUUAGUUAAUGAGCUAUGGAAUGGAGAUUCAGUUUUCAUUUUAGUUUGUUAAAUCUACAAGGCUGUAAAAUGAUUAGAGCAUGUCCUUUGCAACCUGAUCACACAAAUGAUGAAAAAGAAUAGAACUUUCUCAUUCAUCUUUGAAUAACGUCUCCUUGUUUACCCUGGUAUUCUAGAAUGUAAUGUGUUUGUUCCAAU